rnacentral:rRNA from 1 species
CAAUAGCGUAUAUUAAAGUUGUUGCAGUUAAAAAGCUCGUAGUUGGAUUUCGGGACGGGCCAGUUGGUCCGCCGCAAGGUGUGUUACUGACUGGUCUGUUCUUCUUCGCAAAGACUGCGUGUGCUCUUCGUUGAGUGUGCGUAGGAUUUACGACGUUUACUUUGAAAAAAUUAGAGUGUUCAAAGCAGGCUAUCGCUUGAAUACAUGAGCAUGGAAUAAUGGAAUAGGACCUUGGUCCUAUUUUGUUGGUUUCUAGGACCGAAGUAAUGAUUAAGAGGGACAAUUGGGGGCAUCCGUAUUUCGUUGUCAGAGGUGAAAUUCUUGGAUUUACGAAAGACGAACAACUGCGAAAGCACUUGCCAAGAGUGUUUUCAUUAA